UUAAGAAACAAGUCAUCUUAUGUCCUUUAUAUGCUGUUUGUUGUUGCACAGUUUAGCUGCAAACAUUUUAGUACAGCUUUGAGAAACACAAACAAAUGUAGCAGCCUUCAUUAGAUGGACUAGAAAAGGUUUCACAGUUCUGUUACCACUUUGUGUGGUUAUUAUCAGACUGUCAAAAGCAGAAAACGUUAGUUACAGUAACCACAGAUGAACGCUUGACUAUUUUCAAAAGGCCUGCUUUAUAUCUUCUACGUUUAAUUUGAGAUACUACUGAUGCUGGUGAUAAUUUAAGCUUCUUAGACACAAACCACACAAAAGAAAGAAAGCUUGUAGAAAGCUGUUCUCAUGAACCAUUUAUACACAUCAAAAUGUAAGCUCCAGGGGGAAGGUCGGGUGGAUGUUUGGGUAAUAAAAAACAGGGCUUUAAGGCGGGGAAGUGGUGUUUAUAUCCUGGAAGACAUUAAGGGGAAAACACAAAACGUUCACCCAGGAAACAAGUGUUCCUGUUCCGGGAGGAUUUUAAUUCGAACCCAC